CCCAACUGUGAAGCCUUGCACACAUCACUGCAUAUAUCUGUGCUUGACUUUUCUGAACCUGAAUUACUCGGUGAACAGGGUACCUUGCAGUUUGAAUGACCCUCAAGCUCUCAGAACUUCUCCAACUUUAAAGCGCCCUAUUCUAAGAGAGAACUGUAUUUGUUAACCCCAAGGGAGACAAGCUUGUCAUUUCAGCCUUCCUUAUUUAAAAAAGGUAAUUUGUGCUGAUUCUCCAGUACAAAGCACUUAAGUCAAUUCAUCAUAGAAAGACCAUUAGGUGUAAAGUGAUAAAUAUACUAUGUCAACUUUGAACAUUUAUUUAGCACUUUUCACUGUAAAAACUUCAGAUUUCACAGGUCAGCAAAGAGAGGGUUUUGUUUAAUUGUUUUGCAUCAUCAGAUAUCAAUCUGCAGGGUAGGGGACAUAUCAUUUAGGGAAACAUGAAAGGGAAGGUAGGCACACCUCACUUUACAGAAAUUUCUGCUGAAGCCCUAAAUUAGUGUGUUGGUCUCCCCCAUAAGCCUUCUGGCUUUUAGAGAACAGAGACUGCUUAUUCUUAUAUUAAACUGGAGAAGGUGUUCUAUAAUGCAUAACCUCUUAGAACUAUAAAUGUGUAUUGUUUCUCUUUAUCUCGACCUUCCAAGGGCCCCAGCAGCCUGCCCAAGGCUUCACUAUCCUUGCAACAAUCAUGGCACGGUAGUGAUGGGAAGAAAAGCUGCAGGCUCAGUGCUCCUUACCUACAGGGAAUAGUGCUGAUUCCUGUUGCAAAGCAGACCCAUUAUCAGAGGCCCAUCAAGUCACACCAUUCCCUUCCCUGCUGUCUCUUGGGCCUGCAAUGACAAAGACAUGGCAGAAACGCCACUAUCCCUGCUCCUCUGCUUUGGCCAGAUGCCACUGAUGGAUUGUUCAAUUCUUCCCUGCAGAAUCGUGCCCUCAGAUCCUUCUGACAGUGUGCCAGAUAUCCAGCAUCACCUUUGCAGUUUGGGAAGUGGCACCCAGCAUCCACCCAGCGUGCCUUUCUUGAUCUUGUCCAUGGUGCUGAGAUUCUGUGUGGCCCCCAUGCGGUUGGUCUCGCUCCAUGGGUCUCCAUCCAGGGUGAUGCCCACCCUCCUACCACCUGUGAACAUUUGGUAAUAUCUAGAGACAUUGCUGGUUUCCACCAUUGGGAGUGGGUGCAACUGGCAUCUAGUGGGAAGAGGCCAGGGAUGAUGCUGCACAUCCCAUGUUGCAUAGACCCCCCUCCCACAGCAAAGAAUGAUCUUGUUAAAUGUCAGUAGUGCUGAUGGUACACAGACGAUGUCCCACAGCAAAGAAUAAUCUUUUUAAAUGUCAGUAGCAUCAAGGUUGGGGAACUCUCGUGUGUCUGACAAGGAAA
rnacentral:lncRNA from 1 species